UACGGAAGGCAGCAGUGGGGAAUAUUGCACAAUGGGCGCAAGCCUGAUGCAGCCAUGCCGCGUGUAUGAAAAGGCCUUCGGGUUGUAAAGUACUUUCAGUCGUGAGGAAGGUGUUAAGGUUAAUAACCUUAGCAAUUGACGUUAGCGACAGAAGAAGCACCGGCUAACUCCGUGCCAGCAGCCGCGGUAAUACGGAGGGUGCGAGCGUUAAUCGGAAUUACUGGGCGUAAAGGGCACGCAGGCGGUUAAUUAAGUUGGAUGUGAAAUCCCCGGGCUUAACCUGGGAAUGGCAUUCAAGACUGGUUAGCUAGAGUCUUGUAGAGGGGGUAGAAUUCCAUGUGUAGCGGUGAAAUGCGUAGAGAUGUGGAGGAAUACCGGUGGCGAAAGGCGGCCCCUGGACAAAGACUGACGCUCAUGUGCGAAAAGCGUGGGGAGCAAAACAGGGAUUAGAUACC
rnacentral:rRNA from 1 species